CCUCAUCCAACGGUGGACGCGGCUUGCCACUGAAAACCACACUGGACGAGAUCUCCAGUCCGCUCGCACCACCCCCUUGGCAUUGGGUCCUUGACGGCUUGACCCUCUCGUGCGGUCGUCGCAAACUUGUUGUACCCGCAACCUCUCUCCUCCCCCUCCCCCUCCGAACUCCAAACCCUAGAGGCGCCGCACACCGCAGCGACACGUCCAGCGAGAUGCGGCCGCGCGGCAGAGGGGACGACCCCGACGAUGACGAGGACUACGAGUCCUCCCCGCAGCGGAGCGCCUCGNNNNN
rnacentral:lncRNA from 1 species